GGCAACUUGGCCGAGUGGUCUAAGGCGCUGGAAUUAGGUCUCAUGACACAAUCCAGUCCGAAAGGGCGUGAGUUCGAACCUCACAGUUGUCA
rnacentral:tRNA from 1 species